rnacentral:rRNA from 1 species
CCUACGGGAGGCAGCAGUGAGGAAUAUUGGUCAAUGGACGAGAGUCUGAACCAGCCAAGUAGCGUGAAGGAUGACUGCCCUAUGGGUUGUAAACUUCUUUUAUAUGGGAAUAAAAUGUUCCACGUGUGGGAUUUUGUAUGUACCAUAUGAAUAAGGAUCGGCUAACUCCGUGCCAGCAGCCGCGGUAAUACGGAGGAGCCGAGCGUUAUCCGGAUUUUUUGGGUUUAAAGGGAGCGUAGGUGGAUUGUUAAGUCAGUUGUGAAAGUUUGCGGCUCAACCGUAAAAUUGCAGUUGAAACUGGCAGUCUUGAGUACAGUAGAGGUGGGCGGAAUUCGUGGUGUAGCGGUGAAAUGCUUAGAUAUCACGAAGAACUCCGAUUGCGAAGGCAGCUCACUGGACUGCAACUGACACUGAGGCUCGAAAGUGUGGGUAUCAAACAGGAUUAGAUACCCCAGUAGUC